rnacentral:tRNA from 1 species
GGUCGUUUAGCUCAGCGGGGAGAGCACCUCCCUUACAAGGAGGGGGUCACUGGUUCGAGCCCAGUAACGACCUCCA